GGGGCUGUAGCUCAGCAGUAGAGUGCUUGCUUAGCAUGCAUGAGGACCGGGUUCAAUUCACAGUACUGCCA
rnacentral:tRNA from 1 species